rnacentral:lncRNA from 1 species
CUGUGCAGGUGGUGGUGCCCUCUGCGCCUUCACUGGGGCCCAGCCAAGUAACUGAAUCCAGCCAGGAGCAAGGGCAGACGCUGGCACAGGUCCUGCCACUGUCCCCAACCUGGGUUUCAACACAGCUGAGGCCUGGCAUAGUCUUUCUGGGCGCCUCUGGCUGGCUCGGUCUGAAAGGCGCGGCCAGGUCACAGUCGGCACCAGAAGUUUGGCAGAUCUCAGUGAGGCGUUAGUUUGCAUUUCCUUGUGACGGAGUCUCACUCUGUUGCCAGGCUGGAGUACAAUGGUGCCAUCUUGACUCACUGCAACCUCUGCCUCCCGGGUUCAAGCUAUUCUCCUGCCUCAGCUUCCUGAGUAGCUGGUACUACAGGCGUGUGCCACCAUGCCCAGGUUUUGACUGGAAUGCCAGGCUUAACGUUGCUCAGAAGUUGCUUCUAUGAGGACGUCUCCCAGCAGCUGUCAGUGUUUCCAAUGAGUCAUCGCCAGCCCCUGCAAUGAGCCUCUCAGGCUGGGGUUACUUAUUCUGGAUCUCAGCACUUGGAUAAAUAUUUGAGAAUAUUUUUUGCAGUAAGUGACAUCGUUUUAUGUGGAUGAACAGAAGAUUUUAAUUUUGAUAAAGUCUAAUGGAUAUAUGUGAUGUUAGUGUAAUUUGAAUGCAUACAUAUGUAUAUUUAAUGCAUUCUUUUAUGAUGAUUGUGCACUUCAUAUGAAAUGCGGCAACCUUGCCUUGCCAUCCCGGAGGCCUCUGCUUCUCUGAUCUGUGGGUGUCACAGGCACUUCACUUACUCACACCUUAUGGCACGGUUUCUUUUGCUCUAAGCCUGCACGUGUGUUUUAAAGGUAAUUUCUUCCGUUAGAGAAGUCGCGUAGGCUCACCCUGCUAUUUGCCAUUUCUGGAGCUCUUUAUCUCCUUCUUCAUAUCUGCAUUUCCCUCUGGAAUCAUUUCCAUUCAGCCUGAAGAACUCUUCUGCCUGGGACUCCACCUUCUUUUCUAGCAGCUGGGCUCAUUGGGAGCUCUGUCCUCUGGUGGCUCUGGCCAGGGGACGCUGGGUUUUCUCUUAGGGUUUCAGUUGGCCCGUGUGGUGCCAAUGUCAACGUGUCUGUAGGCCAGAGCCAGCAAUGAGCACCCCCUCGGUCUGGCCCUGAGCUCCAAGGCCCCACUCCCACGGGAUCUUGCUGCCAGGACCCCACUCUCUGCAUCUUGUCCAGAGUGUCGAGGAGGGCAGGGUCCAGCGGGAUCUCUCGGCCCUCCCAGGGCUGAGUCUGUGCUCUGACCUUUCCUGGGAGGCACUCAGGGCCAACAGAGCAACAAGGGGCCUUUCCCUGUGGCUCCCUCCCCUCUGGAGAAAAUGGGUCAGACCUGGGUUUCUCCAUAGUCACUGUCCCUAAAAUGAAGCCGGGCUGCCAGAGGCGGUUGCAUCUCCCGGCACCAAGACCCCAGAGUCCCUGUGAGAAAGAGGACCAACGACGAUGGAAGCCUUUCUCUAAUGUGCGCACAGCCAGGCCGCUCCUCUGAAGGCGCUGAGCCGCCUCUAAUCACAGCGCCACACUGGCCACAGGUCGCUGGGUAUAGGAUGAACCCAGCUGUGAAUAGGAUGCAUUUCCUGGGAGGUUUCUGUGAAGUUACUGAACUGCCAAAAGGUAAGCAGUUUUAAUUGAUUUGUGAGUCUUCAAUUAAGCACAGCAGAAUGCUAAUUAAAUAUUCUCUGUUCUUUAAAUAGAGAAUGCUUUAAAUAAUUCAGCACAAUCUUUGCAUAAAUCACACCAUUCAGCUGAGGUGCCUGUCAGCAGUCAAGUGAUUGAGAGCACAAACUGUCCCAAAGACACAGCCCCCUUCCCCCUGGAGACGCGCACAGCCUGCAGAAGAGAUGUCACCUGAUGCAGCGUUGUGGUUUAAAAACUCAUUAUGGGAAGCAUGAGGCUGGACCCAGGGGACCCUGGAGGUGAUGCAGGGGCUUUGGCAGCCUGGAAGCUGUUGGAGGAGGGGCCCUUGGUGGAAGUGGGGACAGUUUGAGCCUCCGGCCUCCAAUUCCCUCCCGCUGGCUUCUGGGCCGCACCUCCAGGAAUCCAGCUAGACCCGCAGGGCUCUGACUCCAGACUUUAUUAAAUGUUUCCUCUAACGGUUCUGGCCAUUCUGCUGGGCCAUUAAAGGCUACCCCAGGGCCUCAGA